CUGCCCUCAAGGAGCUUACAGUCUAGCUGUGUGGUGUGAGGCAUUUGCACAAAGCACUAGACAUAUGCACAUCAAGGUAAGAGG
rnacentral:miRNA from 1 species